rnacentral:rRNA from 1 species
UACGUAGGGUGCGAGCGUUGUCCGGAAUUACUGGGCGUAAAGAGCUCGUAGGUGGUUUGUCGCGUUGUUCGUGAAAACCUGAGGCUUAACCUUGGGCGUGCGGGCGAUACGGGCAGACUGGAGUACUGCAGGGGAGACUGGAAUUCCUGGUGUAGCGGUGGAAUGCGCAGAUAUCAGGAGGAACACCGGUGGCGAAGGCGGGUCUCUGGGCAGUAACUGACGCUUAGGAGCGAAAGCGUGGGGAGCGAACAGG